rnacentral:tRNA from 1 species
GUUGGGGUGGGAGGAUUCGAACCCCCGAAUAAAUGGACCAAAACCACUUGUCUUACCGCUUGACGACACCCCA